rnacentral:misc_RNA from 1 species
AUUGUAUCCUAUCCUAUCCUAUCCCAUACCAUCCAUAUCAAGGAAUAAGAGUUACAUGUAAAUAAAAUGAAAUUUUAGAAAAUCUUAAGAACGAGGUAACGUAUUUACCUGUACAUCGGUGGUAUUAAAUCGUACACGGAGAGUACUUAUUUACGUAAACAAACAGGCGACAGCGGAAGUUGGAAGAGGCGAAGCAAUCAAGAGAGCCUUUGAAUUCUAUAAAGACCAAAUGGAUGAGUUUCUUUAUUCUGGAGAACAUAUAUCCAUGAACGAUUUUGAAACUUAUCACAAAAGAUGCAGAAUCGCAGCGAGAGACAAAUUGAAAAGGACCUCUAAAUUGCUUAUAUUGGAGCAUGAAUGCGAAUGCGUGCGGAACCUUGAUAUCCUAAUCAAAGAAGAGUACAAAAAAUGGAGGAAAAUAUUGGACGAGCAAAUACAAAACUUGGUAUUACAACAGAAAGCAAGAAGAGCUGCUGCAGCCGAGGAAGAAGCAAACAGUUCACUUUCAAAGCUAAAAUCAGUAGGCACUGGUAUCGGAAUCGGAAUCGGGACAGCGGCUAUAACUUUCUUUCAAAUUAACAAAUAUUUAAAAACUAAAACAUAAAUUCUAAUGGCAGCAUUGACUGUAUCAUGUUUUGUUUUGUGCUAAUUCAGUUUUUGCAAAGUUUGAUGUUGAUAUUAGUCUUUAAUGAAGCAUGUAAAUGUGACAUAUUAAUAUAAACAUGUUAAUUGUAAAAACCAAUGACAAAUUGUAAGGGGUGUAUUUUGUCUGACAGAGUUUUUAUAUCUCUUGUUGUAUUUGUUGGACGGGGCACAAAUAAAUUUUACUAGACAC